GGGGGCGUAGCUCAGAUGGUAGAGCGCUCGCUUUGCAUGCGAGAGGUACCGGGAUCGAUGCCCGGCGCCUCCA
rnacentral:tRNA from 1 species